UACACAUACCAACAACCCUAAACGAUUUCAUUUCUCUGCCACAACACACAGACAUUGUUUGUUCUGUAUUUUUCAAUCUAGACUCAAGCUCGGUCUCCAUCGAUUGAAGAUCAGAAGCAAAUAAUUAACGUUUUGUAUUUGAAACAAAUUAGAUCCAUGGGCAAGUUGGUAAUUUUAACUUGUAAAACCUAUUCACAAUAUACAUAAUUUGCACACACAAUAUGCACACAGCUAGCAAAAUUUGGGCUUCUUUUUCCUUCUGUUUCGUGUUUGGGGCAACUAAGCUCAUAACAAGGCCUGCUUCUACUCAAACCAUCGGAGAAAAAAGAGGAGAAACAACAAGCAAUCGAAAAAGAGAAAUUAAGAGAGAAAUCAGAGGAAGAAGGAGGGUUUUUUGCUUUUUCCGAUGCAUUCCAUGAAGAAUGUCAAGAUGUUAGUUAAGUGUGUGUUAGUUACAGAUUCUAUUAGAGAGUUAAUCCGUUGACUUUAUUGUUGACUCUCUUUCUAUGUAUAUAUAUUGAUCAGGGUCUGUAACCAUUAGUUCAUAAUAAUGAGAACCCACUUGACAUUUCUCUCUCUUUUACUUUCUCAAUCAUUUCAUGGUAUCAGAGCCCCGAUCUCUGUUUCUCCUUUCUUUCUUCCCUAAAUUGAUUGAAAACACAAUCAAUUUCUUUCUUUAGUUAGGUCAAACAAAAUCCCCAGUUUCAAGGUUUGAAUGUUGUGAUUUUUUCUUUUGAAAUAGCAACAAAUAUUACACAAUUUCAUGUUUAAAACAUCACGAAUUUUGUUUCUACUCAAUUGGAUGGAGAGAAUUAUCUAGUGUGGCGACAUCAAUUCAAAACUAUACUUCAAACCAUGGAUCUGGAGACAUACAUUGAUUCGGAUAUUUCUCCACCUGCAUCUACUUCACUAAAUUUCAUCACAUGGAAAAAGAUGGAUGGAUAUGUUCAAGCAUGUAUUUAACGCCACUCUUCAUGUCUCUGUUGCUCCCAUGGCGAUUGGAAUCAAAACCGCAGCAGAAAUUUGGAAAUUACUUGAAACUUCAUAUUUACAGUAGGCUUUUGCAAAGAAAUCUCAAUUGAGAAGUGAGUUACAGAGUAUAUCUCAAGAUGAAAAGGGACCAAUUAAGCAGUGGCAGCAGGAGAUCCAGAAAGAGAGAGCAGGACAUUUCCAGUUGAAAUCCUACCCCUCAUGGAUUUUCCGAAUUCCAAACAUAUGCAAUUCCCUAAUCUAACAACUUCAUCUUACACAAACACCGAAUCCAAAAAAUUUAAAAUUUAAACAACACUUAUAUUACAAAUGUCAUACAAAUAUAAAAUCUAUAUAGUAUUAAGCAUAAGUACAAUAUCAGUACUAAAAAGCAAAAUAUCUUUGAUGAUAUAUAUUCAAGAAUUAUUUGCAUUCUAGAGGAUCUAUGUGGUUUCUCUUCCUCUCUUCAGGUUGGUAAAUCUUACCACAACUGCAACAUAUAUUUUGUCCACAGUUUCAUCAGCGAACAUGAAAAGCUUGUGUCUCCAGUGCUUCUUGAACAACAAAACUCCAAUAACACCCCAAAACCCUGUUGCAAACCCACUCAUUAUGUCCACAUAAAACCAUAUCUUCAUCGGCGCAUUAGCUGCUUCAUAUUUCUCCUUGCUUCUUGUUGAUGAUGGGUCUUUGUGAUUUGAGCAAUUCUUCAGCAAUGGAGCUCCACAAAGAUCUUUGUUCCCAUUGUAUAUUGAUGGAUCAGUAAGGGUCUGCAACUGACGACCUGUUGGAAUUCGUCCUGUCAAGUUGUUGUGUGACAAAUUCAAAUGACUCAAAAAAGUCAAAGCUGCCAUGCUUGAAGGGAUCAUCCCGGUCAACUUGUUUCCAGAUAAAUCGAGAGAUUCUAACCUCGUCAUGUUCCCAAUGUUUUCUGGAAUCAUCCCACUGAGAUGAUUAUUUGACAAAUUCAGACCAAUCAGCAUAGAAAGUGCUGUGAGCUUGAGUGGAAUUUCUCCUACAAUUUUAUUGCUCGAAAGGUCCAUGUUGAAAACUAUAUCCCAAGUUUUUGUAUAUUCAAGAUCAACACCUUUCAGGACCUGAAUCACAUUCUUAUCUGAACUGAGGGUGGCAUUACCCAAAUUAACUGGGCUACUCUCAACCAUGGCCUUCAACUCUCCUAGACAAUGAGGUAUGCUUCCCGUUAGAAAGUUGUAUGCAACAUCCAAAAUUUGAAGAUUUGAAGCUUUGCACAAGGAUCGAGGUAUACUUCCGGUGAAGUUAUUCUUGUGUAACCUAAAAACUACCAAAGAUCCAAGUUUUUCUCCAAUCGAUGCAGGUAUAUUUCCAGACAAUUCGUUAUCACCCACAUCUAAAACUCUUAAAGCUCCUAAAUUCCCCGAUUCCCAAGGAAGUUCACCAAUAAGGUUAUUGUCAUUCAGUUGUAACCAAACUAAUGAAGAAUUAAGAGUUAUAGAGUUUGGGAUGACGCCAGACAACCGAUUUGAGCUAAAUAUCAUGGUAAGCAACCGUUGUAGAUUCUCGAGACACUUUGGAAUUUUCCCAGUUAACCUAUUUCUGGAUAUAUCAAGAUAUCUCAAAUCUGUCCUUCUGCACAAUGACCUUGGAAUCGACUCAUUGAAUAGGUUAUUUCCCAGAAAUAAUGCAUUGUUAAGUCCAUAAUCAAACGCAUCAACAUUUCCCCCAUUGGGAAGGUUUGUCAAAGGUCCAGUGAGUUUGUUGUGAGAGAGAUCUAAGAAAGGAAUGAUGGGCAUCUUCCGCAACCAUGUCGGCAGAGGUCCCGAAAUUGAAGUAUUAGACAACACUAACUCCUCAAGUUUCCUUUGAUUAUGAAGCCAUUGUGGAAAUUCAUUUCCGAUAUUGCAAGAAUUGAGUCGAAGAGUUACCAAUUGGAAUGGAGGUAUCCACUCAUGUGAAAUAUUAAAGGUCAACUUCAUAUUAGAAGAAGUAUCCAAGUGCUUCAACAUCGAAAGGUUAGCAAAAUAGGCUUCAAAAAUUACUCCUUCCAAGGAAUUGUUUGAGAUAUCUAGAUACUGGAGUUUGUCAAGUUGCCUAAAGGAAACUGGAAUAGUCCCAUUUAGCAAGUUUGAAUGCACAGAAAUUGCUUGUAAUGAAACUAGUCUUCCUAUAUUUGUUGGUAUGUGACCCGUUAACGAAUUGGAUUCUAGAUAAA